GAUGAACGCUGGCGGCGUGCUUAACACAUGCAAGUCGAACGAAGCACUUCGAUUUCUUCGGAUUGAGGAGUGACUGAGUGGCGGACGGGUGAGUAACGCGUGGGUAACCUGCCUCAUACAGGGGGAUAACAGUUAGAAAUGGCUGCUAAUACCGCAUAAGCGCACAGUACCGCAUGGUACGGUGUGAAAAACUCCGGUGGUAUGAGAUGGACCCGCGUCUGAUUAGCUAGUUGGUGAGGUAACGGCUCACCAAGGCGACGAUCAGUAGCCGACCUGAGAGGGUGACCGGCCACAUUGGGACUGAGACACGGCCCAAACUCCUACGGGAGGCAGCAGUGGGGAAUAUUGCACAAUGGGCGAAAGCCUGAUGCAGCGACGCCGCGUGAACGAAGAAGUAUUUCGGUAUGUAAAGUUCUAUCAGCAGGGAGGAAAAUGACGGUACCUGACUAAGAAGCACCGGCUAAAUACGUGCCAGCCGCCGCCGUAAGAC
rnacentral:rRNA from 1 species